rnacentral:rRNA from 1 species
CGUAGGUGGCAAGCGUUGUCCGGAUUUAUUGGGUUUAAAGGGUGCGUAGGCGGUUUUCUAAGUCAGCAGUGAAAUACGGCAGCUCAACUGUCGAGGUGCUGUUGAUACUGGGGAACUUGAGUACUGAUGAGGUAGGCGGAAUGGACGGUGUAGCGGUGAAAUGCUUAGAGAUCGUCCAGAACACCGAUAGCGAAGGCAGCUUACUAAGGAGUAACUGACGCUGAGGCACGAAAGUGUGGGGGAUCAAACAGGAUUAGAUACCCUGGUAGUCCACACUGUAACGAUGAUUACUCGAUGUGUGCGAUACACGGCACGCGUCUUAGCAAAAGCGAUAAGUAAUCCACCUGGGGAGUACGCCGGCAACGGUG